CCGGAAUAUUACAAAGCUCUGAGAAGAGAAAGUUGAAUGCAGCAAAUCAAACAUGCUGCAAUAAGUGAGUAUAGUAGGGUCGAGUUUACCAUAAGAAAACAACAUCGUUCUUUAUUUCGAACUGCAUGCACAUGUCACUAGGAUGCCCCAGGAUGUCUGCAGAGGAGGAGAGGUGGGUUUUCAUCAUAAACGUCUGCCUGUUCUGUCCUGUCCUGCCUGCCCAGCUGUUUAUGCUUGCACUACUGUCAGCAGCUGGGAGCAACGCUUCUCUCCAGUCAAGAGCCUGACUUCCCUUGGUGCUUCAGUGCUUCAUGACUCAGAAAAAAUAUUGUCAACAGUUCUUGUCAGAUUAGGAGGAAAUACCAAGGGAGAAAAGACGACUGCUAUUCACAGGGCUGGCCUGGUAUGCUGUUAAUUCCUUUGAUGGGUUCUUCCAGCCUGCUUCCCCGCAGCACCCAAACUUCAAGGUAUUGGGUAUCCAGAACCUUGCAUCCUUACCAUCCUCACAUCAAGGACCAGGAGGAGACAACAGAAGCAUCCCCCCUGAUGUUCAGGAUGCAGCCAGAGCUGCAAGAGCUGAGAGAAACAAAUCCCUAUGGAGCCACUGGCUGAAGGUAGACCCUGAGCAGGGCUCCACAACUCUGAUCCUGGGAAAACAUAGGCAUUGAAUUCUCCCACAUGAUUGUCUCACUUCAAUUCAAGCACCAGUGUGACGCCGAGAGAUGAGAAGCAGGCUCUCGGGGAAAAGCUUGCAUGAAAAGUGAUAACAUGAAAAUAUGUCAGCAUUCCUGAAAAGCAUUCAGGCAGCGUCAGUCAACAGAGCUGCCUGCAGGCCUAAAAAAAGCAUGCAGUGCUUCUCAGCUCUCACCAACUGGCAGCUGCAUCUCAAUCACAUGGGGAG
ensembl:lncRNA